rnacentral:snoRNA from 1 species
AAUCCAUGGUGAGGACACAUUUUUAUUAAAUCCUUAUACCUUUCCCAAGCCUCAUAUAGUGAUUUAGAAUCAAAUUGCAUGAAAGAAGUGAUAUCAUUCCGCAUCUU